rnacentral:rRNA from 1 species
AACGAACGCUGGCGGCAUGCCUAACACAUGCAAGUCGAACGAGACCUUCGGGUCUAGUGGCGCACGGGUGCGUAACGCGUGGGAACCUGCCCUUAGGUUCGGAAUAACUCCCCGAAAGGGGUGCUAAUACCGGAUAAUGUCUUCGGACCAAAGAUUUAUCGCCUUUGGAUGGGCCCGCGUUGGAUUAGCUAGUUGGUAGGGUAAAAGCCUACCAAGGCGACGAUCCAUAGCUGGUCUGAGAGGAUGAUCCGCCACACUGGGACUGAGACACGGCCCAGACUCCUACGGGAGGCAGCAGUGGGGAAUAUUGGACAAUGGGCGAAAGCCUGAUCCAGCAAUGCCGCGUGAGUGAUGAAGGCCUUAGGGUUGUAAAGCUCUUUUACCCGGGAUGAUAAUGACAGUACCGGGAGAAUAAGCUCCGGCUAACUCCGUG